rnacentral:lncRNA from 1 species
AGGUGUCACUAUCUCUCUAUAUAGCUAUUAUAGCAUUCUUCUUAAUCUUUUGGAGGUUCUUUUUGAGUAGGGGGUAAUUCUGCUUGUAAUGUCCUGCUUAUUGUAUUUGUAGCAUAUGAUAUUUCUUCUUCUUUUUUCUUCAUCAUCUUCUUUUUUCUUCAAAUCUUUCUUAAUGAGGAACUUCUUGAAUUUUUUUAUGAGUAACCCCAAGUCCUCAGUUUCACUUUCAUUUUCUUCUUCUUCUUCAUCCUUCAACCCAUCACUUUUUUCUAAUUUGGUGGUUGAUUUGAAUGCGAUGAUCUUUUUCUUCUUUGAUUCAUUUUCUUCCUCACUAUGGUGCAUGUUCAACUCAUGAGCGAACCAAUUAAUUUCUUUAUGGAUAGCUUGGUGAGAGCUCUCACUUCUUGUAUUAUCAUUACUUUAGCUUUUCAUGCCUUUAACAAAUACCUUAAAACCUUACAAAUAAGCUCAUUAUUAGUAUAUAUUUUGCCAAGACCAUUCAAAGCAUUAAUGAUAUUAGUAAAUCUUGAGAAUAUAUCAGAAAUAGACUCAUAUUGUUCCAUGUUGAAUA